CCAUGGACGUGGUGGUGUCAAAGGAUAAAUCUCACUGGUGUCAUCCAUCAUAUAAAAUCUAUAGUUUUUGCCGUUGCAACCACAGCCGUCCGGCACUGUACGCUACUGUUUUACUGUUUCACUGUUGCAUUACGCCAGGAGCCGUUCGAUUGUUUGCUUGACUGGAUCCAGCCGUUCGUUUUUUCCUUCUUUGCAGCCGCUACCAGCUCCCAGAUAUUCCUCUGGUCGUUCGCAUCUACGCCGCCGCCGCCGCCGCUGCCGCGGCUUCUAGGUUUUCCAUUCCCCAUCCGCUCCCGCGACUUCCUUCGCGUCUCCACCGUCGCCGCUCCACCGUGGGUUCUUCACCGCUCGCCUUUCCCCUCACCAGAUCGAUAUAUCCCUUUCACCCGCGCAGUCUCCAUCGCCGCCGUUUCUUUGUCUCUCUACCCCGUCGAGCCGAAAUCGCUGCCAUCGCUGAUUUCCACACAAUCUUCUGCUACGGUCGUCCUCAGCCAUCGGCCCGCUAUUCUAUCAAGGCCUGCUGGCGUACAUCUUCAUUGGCUGGACACACCGUCCCCAACGGGAUCGACGGGUGCCCACGGCUGCAGGUCUGCCCGCCCCUUCACCGCUAGUUUGAACAUAGGCCAAGCUAUGUUUCGUCCUCAGCCAUAGGCCAUCUGCUCGGGGGUAAUGGUGGGUGCCCAGUUGGUGAGGUUCCAUUGCAUCAUUUUGUGAGUUACUUGGUUAGGGUGUUGGUGUUUAUCUUGCUUUCACAUGGUUCUGAAAUAUUGCUUAUCAUGUUUUAUUUAUCUUGAUUAUACUGUGUUGCUUUUGUCUUUGUCAUUCUUCAGUUAAGAAUGGUUGCUGCUUAGCUGCUAAUCUAUAGUUUAUUUUAGGCUCAAGGGGAUUCACUGAUAUUAAAUCUAUGCUUACAUUAGCUAUCUGCUUAUUAUGCUAUGUUUCAUGCCGUGUUUAUCUGUACUUCCGGAACAAUUUAACCAUGUUUUUACAACUAA